rnacentral:rRNA from 1 species
GCCGGUCGUAGUUCGGACUGGAGUCUGCAACCCGACUCCACGAAGUUGGAUUCGCUAGUAAUCGCGCAUCAGCCAUGGCGCGGUGAAUACGUUCCCGGGCCUUGUACACACCGCCCGUCAAGCCAUGGAAGCCGGGAGUACCUGAAGAUCGUGACCGCGAGGAACGGGCUAGGGUAAUACCGGUAACUGGGGCUAAGUCGUAACAAGGUACC